CUUGAUGCUGAAAGUGGCCCACCAGCCUCCAUAUACACAGCCCCAUUGUUCUCCUAGACAAGGCCAUGAACUGGCAAAACAAGAGAUUCGAGUGAGGGUUGAAAAGGAUCCAGAACUUGGAUUUAGCAUAUCAGGUGGUGUCGGGGGUAGAGGAAACCCAUUCAGACCUGAUGAUGAUGUAAGUUUUCUUUGUAUAUUCUUGAAACACCUAUAAAGUUUUAUUUACCGAUUGAAUACUUAAAUGUAAGUGAAAAUCUAAUAGAUGUUUAUGUAAAUCUAGGUAGACAUCACCUGGAUUCCCCACUCUAUUGCUUACCUUUUUGUUUUGUAAUUUGAUCAGUUCAAGUUAAAACAAUUUAACCAAAAA
rnacentral:lncRNA from 1 species